CGGGGUGCAGCAGGCGCGAAAACUUUACAAUGCUGGCAACAGCGAUAAGGGGACCUUGAGUGCCAGGAUACAAUCCUGGCUGUCGUGAUGCCUAAAAAGCAUUAUAUAGCAAGGGCCGGGCAAGACCGGUGCCAGCCGCCGCGGUAACACCGGCGGCUCGAGUGGUAACCGCUAUUAUUGGGUCUAAAGGGUCUGUAGCCGGCUUGGUUAGUCUCUUGGGAAAUCCGGCAGCUUAACUGUCGGGCUUUCAGGAGAUACUGCCAGGCUCGAGACCGGGAGAGGUGAGAGGUACUUCAUGGGUAGGGGUGAAAUCUUGUAAUCCUUGAAGGACCACCAGUGGCGAAGGCGUCUCACCAGAACGGACCUGACGGCAAGGGACGAAAGCUAGGGGCACGAACCGGAUUAGAUACCCGGGUAGUCCUAGCCGUAAACGAUACUCGCUAGGUGUCGGCCACGGUGCGACCGUGGUCGGUGCCGUAGGGAAGCCGUGAAGCGAGCCACCUGGGAAGUACGGCCGCAAGGCUGAAACUUAAAGGAAUUGGCGGGGGAGCACAAGGGCAAUUCGCG
rnacentral:rRNA from 1 species